GCUCAAAUUUGAAAUCCUGCGGGAAUUGUAAUUUGAAGGUUUCGUGGUCUGAGUCGGCCGCGCCCAAGUCCAUUGGAACAUGGCGCCUGGGAGGGUGAGAGCCCCGUAUGGCGCACGCCGACUCUUUGCACCGCGGCUCCGACGAGUCGAGUUGUUUGGGAAUGCAGCUCUAAGUGGGUGGUAAAUUCCAUCUAAAGCUAAAUAUUGGCGAGAGACCGAUAGCGAACAAGUACAGUGAUGGAAAGAUGAAAAGCACUUUGAAAAGAGAGUGAAACAGCACGUGAAAUUGUUGAAAGGGAAGGGCUUGCAAGCAGACACGGUUUUACCGGGCCAGCGUCGAAAAGGGGGGAGGAACAAGAACUCGAGAAUGUGGCGCGCACCUUCGGGUGUGCGUGUUAUAGCUCGUGUUGACGCCUCCAUCCCUUUUCGAGGCCUGCGAUUCUAGGACGCUGGCGUAAUGGUUGCAAGCCGCCCGUCUUGAAACACGGACCAAAA
rnacentral:rRNA from 1 species